rnacentral:rRNA from 1 species
UACGGAGGGGGCUAGCGUUGUUCGGAAUUACUGGGCGUAAAGAGUACGUAGGCGGUUAUUCAAGUCAGAGGUGAAAGCCUGGAGCUCAACUCCAGAACUGCCUUUGAAACUAGAUAGCUAGAAUCAUGGAGAGGUUAGUGGAAUUCCGAGUGUAGAGGUGAAAUUCGUAGAUAUUCGGAAGAACACCAGUGGCGAAGGCGACUAACUGGACAUGUAUUGACGCUGAGGUACGAAAGCGUGGGGAGCAAACAGG